AUAAAGGCAAUGAAGGGGUAAAGUAGAUUAUAUAUUCUUUUUAAGCGAGCUGGGGACGGUGCGAGCCCGGUAAAAGGAUUAUAAUUGAAGUUCACCGCCUGAGCUGUUGGCUGAAAAGCUGAGUAAAUCGCUAAAGUAGGCUUAACCGGAGCUUUCACCGUUAAAAGAAAGGUUGUAUCGGAUUAUUUGUAUGUAGUCCCGUACAAUAAUGAGUGGGCAUUAUGCAAUUUGGGUGGUACCGCGUGGAAAAUACACUCCUCGUCCCUUAA
rnacentral:ncRNA from 1 species